rnacentral:rRNA from 1 species
GAUGACGCUGGCGGCGGGCCUAAUACAUGCAAGUCGAGCGAGUGGCGGACGGGUGAGUAAUGUCUGGGAAACUGCCCGAUGGAGAGGGAUAACUACUGGAAACGGUAGCUAAUACCGCAUCCAGUCGGAUGUGCGCAGAUGGGAUUAGCUUGUAGGUUAGGUAACGGCUCACCUAGGCGACGAUCCCUAGCUGGUCUGGGAGGAUGACCAGUCACACUGGAACUGAGACACGGUCCAGACUCCUACGGGAGGCAGCAGUGGGGAAUAUUGCACAAUGGGCGCAAGCCUGAUGCAGCCAUGCCGCGUGUAUGAAGAAGGCCUUCGGGUUGUAAAGUACUUUCAGCGGGGAGGCGUUACCCGCAGAAUAAGCACCGGCUAACUCCGUGCCAGCAGCCGCGGUAAUUC